UAGCAGUGUGGAGAGACUGAGGAUUGCCAGAUGAAGGACAGCCGCCUGAGUGCCAUUAUAACAUAAAGAACCCAAGCCGAGGCAGAACAGGCAGGGAUCUAUGGACUGAUGAUAAAUAACCAGGAGCCUUAUCUGACCUGGCAUAAACCCACCGUUUUCCUCAGCACAGUGGACUCUGAGGAGGACGAGCUGGAGGAAGAUGAGAUACACAUUCUGUUUGUCCUCAGGCUAAUGUUCUCCAAAGCUCAUUACGGCUUAAACGGAGGAGGUGGAGAACUCACACGAAACAUCAAAAGAAGCCUAACCACAGGGGUGAUCACAGAGGAGAGAGAGACAGAGAGAGAGAGAGACAGAAGGAUGGACAGAAGUUAGAAAGGUGAGAGAUAAAGGUAGCAG